CGGACAUAUGACCUUGAAACACCGGUUCUCGUACGAUCACCGAAGUUAAGCAACGUCGAGCCUGGUCAGUAUUUAGAUGGGUGACCUCUUGGAAAUAACAAGUGCCGUA